CUUGGUCAUUUAGAGGAAGUAAAAGUCGUAACAAGGUUUCCGUAGGUGAACCUGCGGAAGGAUCAUUAUCAAACGUAUCCACGUAUAAACUAACUGUGAACCGUCUCGCCUUUGAAGCCGAAGGGUUAAAUGUCUUUUCGAAGACUUUUAGUUGUUUUUAUCGAUCCAAUUGCUAUCCCAAACGUUCAUUUGAUGGAUGUGGUUUAUGAACGGGCAAUUGCUGCAACAUUCAAACAAUCAUCUCUUUGGUUCAAAGUGUAUUAACUUAAACUCGCUCAUCCAAAACUAUUAACCAAUUGAACCGUUUAAAAAUUCUUUUUUUAAAUCAUAUUGAUCUGAAUUGUUUUCUUCAUUCGUUCUUCGGAAUGAAUAUUAAAACGUUAUUCUACGAAAUAUACAAAAAGAACAACUCUUAGCAACGGAUAUCUUGGUUCUCGUAACGAUGAAGAACGCAGCGAAAUGCGAUACGUAAUACGAAUUGCAGAAUUCAGUGAAUCAUCAAAUCUUUGAACGCAAAUGGCGCUUCUUGGAUAGGCCAGGAAGCAUGCCUCUUUGAGUAUCGUUUUCACCUCAGCUCGACUGUCUUUUUUGUGAAAAGAAGACGUGGUCGGAAAAUGAGUGUGUCUCGUUUGAAAAGACGAGUCCCUUUAAGUGCUGCAAAAGCCAAAAUUGACUCACAAAACGUAGUUGCACAUUUUGUUGAUCAGUAACGUGGAUAAAUUUAUUUACGAUACGACGUCAAUCGAGUGAGUGACAUUUAUUGCGUCUUGUGAAUUUGUGCUUUUGAGUGGAAAUAUAAAUCGAGCGAAAUUAAGUAAAAUUAAUUUUUCUCCUCGAAUUUGAUCUCAAAUGAAGCAAGAGUACCCGCUGAACUUAAGCAUAUUAUUAAGCGGAGGAAAAGAAACUAACAAGGAUGCCCUCAGUAACGGCGAGUGAAGCGGGCGAAGCUCAACCUGGAAAUCGGAUACCCAAGCGGGUGUUCGAAUUGUGGGCUGGAGGACGCGUGAUCAGUGUGUGACCUAAGUAUAAAUCCUUUGAAACAGGGUGUCACAGAGGGUGAGAAUCCCGUCUAUGACUUAGAGUUCGCCGCGGACGAUCCGUGUUCAAAGAGUCGAGUUGUUUGGGAUUGCAGCUCUAAAUGGGUGGUAAAUUUCAUCUAAAGCUAAAUAUCGACGAGAGACCGAUAGCGAACAAGUACCGUGAGGGAAAGAUGAAAAGAACUUUGAAAAGAGAGUUAAAAGUACUUGAAAUUGCUAAGAGGGAAGCACUGGAAACCAGUAGUUAAUGGCUCACAUGUAUUCUUACUUUUCGGUUCCGGAAUGUGCUGUGUGUUUGGAGCCCAAAGCCCAAUAUACGGUACACGAAGGUCUGAGAGGGACAUGUACGGUGAGUCAGAUCAGAAUCAAUUUGAUUCGUGAGAGAAAGCUAUGGCAACGGUAGGACUUUAUGGGGAAACUCACUAAGUCUGUUUAGUGCUGUAGUGCUAUCAUGGAUUAGAUUGAGGUACAAUCGUAAUGCGCACCACUAGGUUAUCGAUUCCCCGAGCCUUGCCGUUGUUAGAGUCGUGGACAACAAAGUUGUGCUGAUUCUGGGAAUGGUUACUGCGAAGGAUGAAUUAGACGCAGCAUUCGAGAUUCUGAUGAAAUGGUUUUCAUUGACCCGUCUUGAAACACGGACC
rnacentral:rRNA from 1 species